UUAUUACAACAACCCUGUGGAUGUUAAUGAUUUUAUUGGCUGCCAGUUAAGUUUUCCUGGAGAAAUUUUUUUUUAAUGUAGUCCUGUGUCAAUCUCUCCAAAGUCAACAAGAUUAUUCACGAAAUAAUUUUCUUGAUCUUUACAUACUCUAUUGUUCAAAUAUUAAUGAUUUCUAACCUUUCCAUGACCUCAAAUUUCUGUUUUAAAAGAUUUCUUUCUGUUUGGUUUAAGGUUUGGUCUGUAAAUGAAUACACAUACACACACACAUACACAAAAUAGUAUGUGCUUUUUUGAAUAUAUUGUGGAGCAGUUACUGUAUUAAGCUCUGUACAUAUAUUUUUGUCCUAAUCCUUCCAACAACCUUUCAAACUAGGUUUUAUUAUCCUCAUUUUACAGAAAAGAGAUUGAAAGAGGUGAAGGGACAUAAGUCUCCUUAGACUCAUGUAGCUGAGCAGGCAUGCAAAGAAACCAUGAGUUACUACAAGAAGGAUAUGAACUCAUAACUCCAACCAAUCACAUAAGCCCAGACAACAGUAUAUUUCCCACACUGAUACAGCACUUUUUGUUUCAAAUGUAUGGAUGCUAUUGUAUCGUUAGCAAGAGGCCAUUAUACUAACAACAUUUAGGAGUUGCUUGACUAUUCUGAAAAGGGCCUUCUUAAAAUCUGAUUAGAUCCAGAUUGAGUAACUUAAAUUCAGUUAGUACAAACCAGACUCCUCAGGUUAGAAGACUGAGGCAGUGACUGGGAUCAGAAUGGAAUAAAUUAUGUUUUGGAUCUUCAUUUCAUCCUUUACAAUCCUAGAUUUUAUAUCUGAAAAAUGGGGAUUUGUAACUGAUGUUAUUUUCCAAACACUAUUAUCUACUUCUCCCUUGUUGACAGAGCAAGGAGGAGUAGGUCUGUCCCUCUCCCUCAUGACUCAGUCCCAACUCUACAGCUAACUCCUGUUUGAGCUGGUCACAGUGGUUCCAAGUCCUAAUGCCUGAUUGCUUUAGGGAUAAGAAUAUGGCCCAGUUCUGGACAAUGUGAUAUCAGGAAAUGGCUGGAGGGCUUCUGGAAAAUGUUUCUUCCUAAAAAGCAUUUCCUGCCACUUUGGAAAGGAUAACUGACCUACAAAUGUGUGAGUUAUACAUCAGUGGUGAAAGCCACUUUCUAGAUGUUGCUGUGUCUGGUGGUAAUCCCUGAUUUGACUAUACCCAUCUUGCUUACAUCUUGAAAAUGAAGCCAAAGGGCCUAAAGAGGAGGAUAAGAACUCUGUUACACUGUCCAAUGGCUGACCAAAUUCUACUUCCUUACUAUGUGUGAGAAUACAUGUCCUAGUUGUUUGGGAAAUUUUUCUUCCUGUUACUUGCAGGUAAAAUAGUCUUACACAAUAGUAUCUGCUUUAUGGGGUUGUUGGAAAGUUCAAUUGAGAAUUUUUAAAAAGAACUUAAUGAUACCUGCACAUAGGAAAGACUCAAUAAAUGUUAGCUCUGAGUGACAAUAACAAGGUGGUACUUUUAGUUAUUUUACAACUCUUAAGUCUGGUAUGAAAUCUUACCCCACUAAACUGUCAUUUCUUCUGUUCUCU
rnacentral:lncRNA from 1 species